UACGUAGGGGGCUAGCGUUGUCCGGAUUUAUUGGGCGUAAAGAGCGUGUAGGCGGCCAGGUAGGUCUGCUGUGAAAACUCGAGGCUCAACCUCGAGACGUCGGCGGAAACCAUCUGGCUAGAGUCCGGAAGAGGAGAGUGGAAUUCCUGGUGUAGCGGUGAAAUGCGCAGAUAUCAGGAAGAACACCAGUGGCGAAGGCGAUCUGCUGGGCCGUUACUGACACUGAGGGACGAAAGCGUGGGGAGCGAACGGG
rnacentral:rRNA from 1 species